GAUGAACGCUAGCGGCAGGCUUAACACAUGCAAGUCGAGGGGCAGCAUGAGACGGAGAUUCGUCAAAGUCUUGAUGGCGACCGGCGCAAGGGUGCGUAACGCGUGAGCAACUUGCCCGUUUCUGGGGCAUAACCGGUGGAAACGCCGACUAAUUCCCCAUAGUAUUGAUUCCAGGCAUCUGUUAUCAAUUAAAGAAUUUCGGAAACGGAUAGGCUCGCGUGACAUUAGCUAGAUGGCGGGGUAACGGCCCACCAUGGCGACGAUGUCUAGGGGUUCUGAGAGGAAGGUCCCCCACACUGGAACUGAGACACGGUCCAG
rnacentral:rRNA from 1 species